GGAGAAGAAAUACAGCAAAGCAUUCUAAAUUGUAUCAGAAGGGUUGCCUAUAUUCAGUUACAGUAGUUACAAUUCAUGUUUUCUUCUCAUAGGGCAUGAGUAUCCACAUGACAUUAGAAUGAUAAAUAUUCAAAAGAACUUCAUUUCACGGGACUUAAGAAAUUUUACAGCUUUCCCUUCCCUACCUGGGGUAAUCAUGAAAUACCUAAACGCUGAUAUACAUGGGAAAUUCAUCUUGAAGCCCAGAAACUCAGCAAGAAGCCAGCAGCAAAAAAAUAUGAAGGAAAAAACUUUUAAGAAACAAAGAACUUCUAUGACGUCGCAAGUUGGACAGGGGCUCUGUGCCCCACCAGGACCAAGUAUGCACCACCCCACCAGUUAAAAAGGGAAGAAAACUGUUUGGAAGAGAACUCAGUUCCAUUUGUCAGGAUGGCAUCCUGCCCGCAGCAAUUCUGGUGUCACCAACAUUAUCCCCUACUUUUGGGGACAGUCAGUGUCUUUUACUGGCCUGGAAACAGGUAUAUAAAUUAAUCUGACUGACCAGAGAGCUUUGUGGUCUGUUUAUCUCUACUUCCAACAAAUGGAUUGUAAGUACACACCAAUAUGACCAGCUUUUGUUUUUUGUGGAGGUUCUGAGAGAAUUAUCUCUGGUCCUCAUCAUUGCAAGGCAAGAAUUGACCAAACCAACUUUCUCCUUUAUUUUAUUCUACACAUGUAGCAUAUAUAAUCCAUGAAUUACAAAAAUCAGUAGGAAAUGCUUUUUAAAUUUUAUUUAUUUACAACUGUUAUUGUGUGUGUAUG
rnacentral:sRNA from 1 species